UUUACGUGCUGUGUUUACUUUGGGGGAAAGAAAACCAGCAGCACCCUAUAAGAUCACCCUAUGAGGUGAACACUGAGGGUGCAAGUUCUUCUCCAGCCAGCAAACAAGGCAAACAUCUAGCACGUGGAAGGAGCAGUGUCACCCAGUAGGAACUAGGUACUGCGACAUUCAAGAACCGUAGGCAUCCAGCCCUAUACAAUUCACAAGGUGAACCUACCUGAAUCCUGAUCUGGAGUUCAGCAGGCUCCCUCUGACCUCCUCCUAGCCACUAUCACCCUACUUGGAAAUUUACAAAUUGGGGCCGGGCGCGGUGGC